CUCAAGGCUUUUUUGGGGGUUUAGCUCAGUUGGUUUAGAGCAUCGGCUUUGCAAGCCGGGGGUCAAGGGUUCGAAUCCCUUAACCUCCAUUUAUUUGUUUUUAAAUAAGUGUGAAUUAAGCCUUUUAAGAAAUGUCUUGUAUUAAAAAAGAAGCUAUUCAAACGUAUUGUUGCUUUUAAAGUGUUAUUUUUUGAUUUAUUUAGGUGAAUUUAGUAUUUUAUAUUGAGUUAACAAAUUUUUUCAUGGGCUUAAAAGGUAUGUUUUUAUGUUAUUUGUUAUCCUGAUGAAUUUCUUUUUAUGAAUUCCAAGACUUGAUUACAUGCAAAAACUUUAUCUUUAAUUAUUUUAUUCAUAUUAUCAAGAACCUUAUCAUGAAUCAACCUAAU
rnacentral:tRNA from 1 species